rnacentral:rRNA from 1 species
CAGUCGCCACGGUAAUACGUAGGUGGCAAGCGUUGUCCGGAAUUAUUGGGCGUAAAGCGCGCGCAGGCGGAUCAGUCAGUCUGUCUUAAAAGUUCGGGGCUUAACCCCGUGAUGGGAUGGAAACUGCUGAUCUAGAGUAUCGGAGAGGAAAGUGGAAUUCCUAGUGUAGCGGUGAAAUGCGUAGAUAUUAGGAAGAACACCAGUGGCGAAGGCGACUUUCUGGACGAAAACUGACGCUGAGGCGCGAAAGCCAGGGGAGCAAACGGGAUUAGAGACCCCCGUAGUCCCUGUCUCUUAUACA